UAUUUCAUCAUGCACCUCCAAUUUCCGAAAAUACCCUUAUUUAAUUAAUAGUUUAAAAGUUUAAUAUUUUGAUUAGUGUGAAUUUCUAUGCUAGCAUUGAGACCACCUCCAUUUUGUUCCAAUCAGUAAGCAUACAUUUUGCUGACUUCUGCAACCCUUGACCCUGCACCCCCUGACUCUACACCCCUACAUCACUCCUGCACUCUCUCAUUUCCAGCAUACCACUUCUGCACCCCACUCCCGCACUCUCUCAUUUCCAGCAUAGUGUUUCAUCUUUAUAAACAAACCCUACACCCCUCCAUCUUUGAAAUACAAC
rnacentral:lncRNA from 1 species